rnacentral:rRNA from 1 species
AUUGAACGCUGGCGGCAGGCCUAACACAUGCAAGUCGGACGGUAGCACAGAGGAGCUUGCUCCUCGGGUGACGAGUGGCGGACGGGUGAGUAAUGUCUGGGGAUCUGCCCGAUAGAGGGGGAUAACCACUGGAAACGGUGGCUAAUACCGCAUAACGUCGCAAGACCAAAGAGGGGGACCUUCGGGCCUCUCACUAUCGGAUGAACCCAGAUGGGAUUAGCUAGUAGGCGGGGUAACGGCCCACCUAGGCGACGAUCCCUAGCUGGUCUGAGGGGGUGACCAGCCACACGGGGACUGGGAAACGGUCCAGACUCCUACGGGAGGCAGCAGUGGGGAAUAUUGCACAAUGGGCGCAAGCCUGAUGCAGCCAUGCCGCGUGUAUGAAGAAGGCCUUCGGGUUAUAAAGUACUUUCAGCGGGGAGGAAGGCGAUGUGGUUAAUAACCGCGUCGGUUGACGUUACCCGCAGAAGAAGCACCGGCUAACUCCGUGCCAGCAGCCGCCGUAA